UACGAAGGGGGGCUAGCGUUACUCGGAAUUACUGGGCGUAAAGGGCGCGUAGGCGGCGCUCCAAGUUAGGCGUGAAAGUCCUGGGCUCAACCUGGGAACUGCGCUUGAUACUGGAGUGCUUGAGGAUGGAAGAGGGUUGUGGAAUUCCCAGUGUAGAGGUGAAAUUCGUAGAUAUUGGGAAGAACACCGGUGGCGAAGGCGGCAGCCUGGUCCAUUACUGACGCUGAGGCGCGACAGCGUGGGGAGCAAACAGG
rnacentral:rRNA from 1 species